rnacentral:rRNA from 1 species
UACGGGGGGUGCGAGCGUUGUCCGGAAUCACUGGGCGUAAAGGGCGCGUAGGUGGCUUUGUAAGUUUGCGGUGAAAGCCCGGGGCUCAACCCCGGGUCUGCCGUGGAUACUGCAAGGCUUAAGUACUGUAGAGGCAGGUAGAAUAUCGGGUGUAGCGGUGGAAUGCGUAGAGAUCCGAUAGAAGACCGGUGGCGAAGGCGGGUCUCUGGGCCAAAACUGACGCUGAGGAGCGAAAGCGUGGGGAGCGAACAGG